rnacentral:lncRNA from 1 species
AAGGAGAAAUGGGGGAGUCAGUGGGUUGGGGAAGAAAGAGGGGAAGAAAGAAAAGAAAAAAAUUGGCGGCUAGGGGUGGGUUGAAAGUAGGUUUUUUUCUUUUUUCAAUAUUUGUUUUUGUACUUUUAAAAUUCUAAUUUUUUUUAUUCUUUUAAUUUUUAAAUAGUGUAAUAUUAAUUUUUUUAAUUUUAGUGAAAUGUUUAAUUUUAAAAUAGUAGGAUUAAAAUAUGAUUAAAUAGAAAUAAAAGAUUUUAGCACCUGGAGGAUAGGCGAUAAGGUAGGGACCGCCAGUUAGCACCUCUCAUUAGC